rnacentral:lncRNA from 1 species
AGAAGUGUGUGUUCAUUCAGUCCAAAGCAUGUGUCCAAGGUCAGUCCAAAAUUAACAGAAGAGAAUGCAUCUGGAUUUUUUUGCAGUUUAUUUCUUCUUCUGGGCAGGAAGACAUCAUUCUGUAGGAUGCCAAGAAACAUGAGCCACAUUUCAUCCACACCUUCCAGAAGUAACUGUAUGGCAUCAGUCACAUCAUAUCCAGGCUCCAGCAUAGGUAAGAUAACAGUGCAGGCAUAGAUGUGUCUGUGUAAUCCACACCUUUAGGGCACAUAAUGCAGUGUACAGAAGCUUGGGAUGUCAUUGAUUCUGUUUCUAUCAUUAGAAAUAAUUUUAUUAUACACCUUCUGUGAAAUAAAUAUCUUCUUACUUGUCUCA